GACGAACGCUGGCGGCGUGCUUAACACAUGCAAGUCGAACGGAAAGGCCCUGCUUUUGUGGGGUGCUCGAGUGGCGAACGGGUGAGUAACACGUGCGUAACCUGCCCUUGACUUUGGGAUAACUUCAGGAAACUGGGGCUAAUACCGGAUAGGCGCUCCUGCUGCAUGGUGGGGGUUGGAAAGUUUCGGCGGUUGGGGAUGGACUCGCGGCUUAUCAGCGUGUUGGUGGGGUAUUGGCUUACCAAGGCUUUGACGGGUAGCCGGCCUGAGAGGGUGACCGGGCACAUGGGGACUGAGAGACGGCGCAGACGGCUACGGGAGGCAGCAGUGGGGAAUAUUGCACAAUGGGCGCAAGCCUGAGGCAGCAACGCCGCGUGCGUGAUGACGGCCUUCGGGUUGUAAACAGCUUUCGCCUGUGACGAAGCGUGAGUGACGGUAAUGGGUAAAGAAGCACCGGCUAACUACGUG
rnacentral:rRNA from 1 species